CCGAGUUUACAACUCCCAAACCCCUGUGAACAUACCACUUGUUGCCUCGGCGGAUCAGCCCGCGCCCCGUAAAACGGGACGGCCCGCCAGAGGAACCCUAAACUCUGUUUCUAUAGUGGAACUUCUGAGUAAAAACCAUAAAUAAAUCA
rnacentral:misc_RNA from 1 species